AUUGAACGCUGGCGGCAUGCCUUACACAUGCAAGUCGAACGGCAGCAUGGGUGCUUGCACCUGAUGGCGAGUGGCGAACGGGUGAGUAAUGCAUCGGAACGUACCUUUCAGUGGGGGAUAACGUAGCGAAAGUUACGCUAAUACCGCAUAUUCUGUGAGCAGGAAAGCAGGGGAUCUUCGGACCUUGCGCUGAUGGAGCGGCCGGUGGCAGAUUAGCUAGUUGGUGGGGUAAAGGCCUACCAAGGCGACGAUCUGUAGCGGGUCUGCGAGGCUGAGCCGCAACACUGGGACUGAGACCCGGCCCAGACUCCUACGGGAGGCAGCAGUGGGGAAUUUUGGACAAUGGGGGCAACCCUGAUCCAGCCAUGCCGCGUGAGUGAAGAAGGCCUUCGGGUUGUAAAGCUCUUUCGGACGGGAAGAAAUCGUGGUGGCUAAUAUCUGCCAUGGAUGACGGUACCGUAAUAAGAAGCACCGGCUAACUACGUGCCAGCCGCCGCAGUAA
rnacentral:rRNA from 1 species